GUAGGUGGCAAGCGUUGUCCGGAAUUAUUGGGCGUAAAGCGCGCGCAGGCGGUUCUUUAAGUCUGAUGUGAAAGCCCACGGGCUCAACCGUGGAGGGUCAUUGGAAACUGGAGAACUUGAGUACAGAAGAGGAAAGCGGAAUUCCACGUGUAGCGGUGAAAUGCGUAGAGAUGCGGAGGAACACCAGUGGCGAAGGCGGCUUUCUGGUCUGUAACUGACGCUGAGGCGCGAAAGCGUGGGGAGCAAACAGGAUUAGGUACCCUGGUAGUCCACGCCGUAAACGAUGAGUGCUAAGUGUUAGGGGGUUUCCGCCCCUUAGUGCUGCAGCUAACGCAUUAAGCACUCCGCCUGGGGAGUACGGCCGCAAAGGCUG
rnacentral:rRNA from 1 species